rnacentral:rRNA from 1 species
GAUGAACGCUGGCGGCGUGCCUAAUACAUGCAAGUCGAGCGAAUGGAUUAAGAGCUUGCUCUUAUGAAGUUAGCGGCGGACGGGUGAGUAACACGUGGGUAACCUGCCCAUAAGACUGGGAUAACUCCGGGAAACCGGGGCUAAUACCGGAUAACAUUUUGAACCGCAUGGUUCGAAAUUGAAAGGCGGCUUCGGCGGUCACUUAUGGAUGGAGCCGCGUCGCAUUAGCUAGUUGGUGAGGUAAUGGCUCACCAAGGAAACGAUGCGUAGCCGACCUGAGAGGGUGAUCGGCCACCCUGGGACUGAGACACGGCCCAGACUCCUACGGGAGGCAGCAGUAGGGAAUCUUCCGCAAUGGACGAAAGUCUGACGGAGCAACGCCGCGUGAGUGAUGAAGGCUUUCGGGUCGUAAAACUCUGUUGUUAGGGAAGAACAAGUGCUAGUUGAAUAAGCUGGCACCUUGACGGUACCUAACCAGAAAGCCACGGCUAACUACGUGCCAGCCGCCGCAGUAA